rnacentral:rRNA from 1 species
UACGGAGGGUGCAAGCGUUAAUCGGAAUUACUGGGCGUAAAGCGUGCGCAGGCGGUUAUACAAGACAGUUGUGAAAACCCCGGGCUCAACCUGGGGACAGCAAUUGAGACUGCGGGGCUAGAGUACGGUAGAGGGGGAUGGAAUUCCGCGUGUAGCGGUGAAAUGCGUAGAUACGCGGAGGAACACCAAUGGCGAAGGCAAUCCCCUGGACCUGUACUGACGCUCAUGCACGAAAGCGUGGGGAGCAAACAGG